rnacentral:rRNA from 1 species
AAGGCCUUUACUGACGCUAAAGCUCGAAGGUGCGGGUAUCGAACAGGAUUAGAUACCCUGGUAGUCCGCACGGUAAACGAUGGAUGCCCGCUGUUGGCGAUACAAUGUCAGCGGCCAAGCGAAAGCGUUAAGCAUCCCACCUGGGGAGUACGCCGGCAACGGUGAAACUCAAAGGAAUUGACGGGGGCCCGCACAAGCGGAGGAACAUGUGGUUUAAUUCGAUGAUACGCGAGGAACCUUACCCGGGCUUGAACUGCAGCAGAACGAUUCAGAGAUGAAGAGGCCCUUCGGGGCUGCUGUGGAGGUGCUGCAUGGUUGUCGUCAGCUCGUGCCGUGAGGUGUCGGCUUAAGUGCCAUAACGAGCGCAACCCCUUUCAUUAGUUGCCAUCAGGUAAUGCUGGGCACUCUGGUGAUACUGCCACCGUAAGGUGUGAGGAAGGUGGGGAUGACGUCAAAUCAGCACGGCCCUUACGUCCGGGGCUACACACGUGUUACAAUGGGUGGUACAGAGAGUCAGUGGGUCGCAAGUCCCAUUCAAUCAUGAAAGCCAUCCUCAGUUCGGAUUGGGGUCUGCAACCCGACCCCAUGAAGCUGGAUUCG